CUCUGAAACUGAUCAGUCAACAGCUUCCUCCUCUCCUGCGGUACCUUGUACCAGAGACCCGUAGAGAUAUGGGGACGAAGUGCUUAACUGAAGUCAAUGUGGAUGAUUUGGUGUCGGCGGGAUUAGCGGCUGAUGAGGCCGAGCAGCUCCACAGGACCCUGCGGGAUGCACUGCUCGGGGCUGGGAGUGGCGGUCCGAGGGAGGUGUGGAGGGAGCUGGUGGCUCGCAGGGCCCUUGAGCCGUCCCACCCGCACCGCCUCCAUCAGCUCAUCUACUACUCUGUCUACUCUGACUGGGAUUCCGAUGUCAAUGGACCUCCCCUCUAUUGGUUCCCCUCCCUUUUACGAGCAGCCAUGCUUGGUUUUUCCUAGACGAGCUAAGAAAUGGAUUAUAUAUCUUUCGUGUUUUAUGAUCAGAGAUCAAGCUAAGCAGACGAAUCUGGGCCGACUGAUGGAGUCGCAUGGCCAAGAUCUCCUUGGGACAUUGUACAAGGAUCCAGUAACGAGUUUUAGCCUUUUCCAGCAGUUCUCAGCUUCGAGACCCGAGGUAUAUUGGUCGAUUGUUCUGAAAGAAAUAGCGGUUAAAUUUGAAGCUCCUCCGAGGUGCAUUUUGGAUACUGCAGACAAAUCUAAGCACGGGGGAACAUGGCUUCCUGGUGCAGUUCUGAAUAUAGCUGAGUGCUGUCUACAGCCCUCGAACCAUCCGAGAAAGGAGGAUAAUAGUGCUGCCAUUGUAUGGAGAGAGGAGAGAGACGAUGAUAGUUCGACGGUUAAGUGCAUGACCUUGCGUGAACUCCGGGAACGAGUAAUCAGGCUGGUGGCGAAUGCACUCAAUGCAACAUUCUCACGGGGCGAUGCAAUUGCAAUUGACAUGCCGAUGACAGUCAAUGCAGUUAUCAUAUACUUGGCAAUCAUACUUGCUGGAAUGGUCGUGGUCUCUAUAGCGGACAGCUUUGCAGCGAAAGAAAUUGCUAGCCGUCUGCAUAUAUCAAAAGCAAAGGGAAUCUUCACUCAGGAUUUUAUACUGAGAGGCGGUCGAAAGUUCCCCUUGUACAGUCGAGUUGUAGAAGCAGCACCUCUUAAAGCAAUAGUGCUUCCUGUUAUUGGAGAUGAAAUGGGAAUACAAUUAAGAGAGCAAGACCUGUCAUGGAGAGAUUUCCUUUCUAGCGUAAACGAUAAUCCAAGGCCACAUCAUUUUGCUCCAGUUUACUGGAAUAUCGACUCCGUGACUAACAUACUCUUUUCCUCUGGAACGACAGGAGAACCGAAAGCUAUACCAUGGACCCAAGUUUCUCCAAUUCGUUGUGGUGCCGACUCGUGGGCCCAUUGUGACGUUCGACCUGGAGACGUAAUGUGCUGGCCAACAAACUUAGGUUGGGUAAUGGGACCGAUCUUGCUGUACUCUUGCUUUCUUACCGGUGCGACCCUUGCCCUCUAUCACGGAUCUCCUCUUGGGCGUGGUUUCGGAAAAUUUGUUCAGGAUGCAGGAGUGACUGUUCUGGGUACGGUUCCUAGUUUGGUGAAAGCUUGGAAGAGUACGAAUUGCAUGGACGGACUCGACUGGACUGAAGUCAGGGUUUUUGCUUCAACUGGGGAAAGCUCCAAUGUCGAUGACGAUCUCUGGCUUUCUUCGAGAUCAUAUUACAGUCCCAUCAUCGAAUGUUGUGGUGGGACAGAGCUUGCAUCUUCCUACAUACAAGGGAGCCCUCUGCAGCCUCAAGCUUUCGGGGCAUUUAGCAAUAAAUCCAUGACAACGGGGUUUGUCAUCCUCGAUGACCACGGGAAUGCUUAUCCUGAUGACCAACCUUGUAUCGGUGAAGUCGGAUUGUUCCCUAUAUACAUGGGAUCAACAGACAGAUUGCUUAAUGUUGAUCACGAGAAAGUUUACUUUGAAGGAAUGCCGAAGUACAAGGGAAUGCGUCUUCGGAGGCAUGGUGACUUAAUCAAGAGAACCGUUGGAGGCUAUUAUGUUGUCCAAGGCAGGGCUGAUGACACUAUGAAUCUCGGAGGCAUUAAGGCGAGUUCGGUUGAGAUCGAGCGGGUCUGUGACAGGGCUGAUGAGUCGGUCCUGGAGACCGCUGCAAUCAGCAUAUCACCAGUCACCGGAGGUCCCGAACAGCUGGUCAUACUAGCUGUACUCAAGAAGGGACACAACACUGCCGCGGAUGAACUGAAGAAGAAAUUCACAAGAGCCGUACAUGCCAACCUUAAUCCGCUGUUCAAGGUGAGCUUCGUGAGGAUUGUUCCAGAGUUUCCCCGAACCGCUUCCAACAAGUUACUGAGAAGAGUUCUGAGGGAUCAGAUGCGCCGCGAGCUCUCACUCCAGAGCAAACUAUAGAGGCCUUGCUACGGAUCUUCCCUGGAAGUUAAAAGAUCUCGUGUCUUAAAAAUUCUCCAAGCGGGCUAAUGAAUAAAAAUAUGUAAAAUAUCAUCGGCUGUGUGAUGGAUGGACGGAUCAUGUCAUAGCCAUUAUCAUGCAUGUGAUUGAUGGAGUAUUAUAUGGGGCGGGGCUUCCACGGUGAAAAUGACCGAUCCAAAUUCCAUCAUAUAGAAACCAAGAAGUGGGCCGUCUCAAUUUGUAAAAUUUUCACUUUAGCCUAUACGAAUUUGAGUCAAUCUUCAACUCA